rnacentral:rRNA from 1 species
CCUACGGGAGGCAGCAGUGGGGAAUAUUGGACAAUGGGGGAAACCCUGAUCCAGCGACGCCGCGUGAGUGAAGAAGUAUUUCGGUAUGUAAAGCUCUAUCAGCAGGGAAGAAAGUAAUGACGGUACCUGACUAAGAAGCCGCGGCUAACUACGUGCCAGCAGCCGCGGUAAUACGUAGGGGGCAAGCGUUAUCCGGAUUUACUGGGUGUAAAGGGAGCGUAGACGGCGAUGCAAGUCUGAAGUGAAAGGCGGGGGGCCAACCUCCGGACUGCCUUGGAAACUGUAUGGCUGGAGUGCAGGAGAGGUAAGUGGAAUUCCUAGUGUAGCGGUGAAAUGCGUAGAUAUUAGGAGGAACACCAGUGGCGAAGGCGGCUUACUGGACUGUAACUGACGUUGAGGCUCGAAAGCGUGGGGAGCAAACAGGAUUAGAUACCCGGGUAGUC